UACGGAGGGUGCAAGCGUUAUCCGGAUUCACUGGGUUUAAAGGGUGCGUAGGUGGGAAUGUAAGUCAGUGGUGAGAUCUCCGUGCUUAACAUGGAAACUGCCAUUGAUACUAUGUUUCUUGAAUUUUCUGGAGGUCAGCGGAAUAUGUCAUGUAGCGGUGAAAUGCUUAGAUAUGACAUAGAACACCAAUUGCGAAGGCAGCUGACUACAGGGAUAUUGACACUGAGGCACGAAAGCGUGGGGAUCAAACAGG
rnacentral:rRNA from 1 species